CCUAACACAUGCAAGUCGAACGGUAACAGGAAGAAGCUUGCUUCUUUGCUGACGAGUGGCGGACGGGUGAGUAAUGUCUGGGAAACUGCCUGAUGGAGGGGGAUAACUACUGGAAACGGUAGCUAAUACCGCAUAACGUCGCAAGACCAAAGAGGGGGACCUUCGGGCCUCUUGCCAUCGGAUGUGCCCAGAUGGGAUUAGCUAGUAGGUGGGGUAACGGCUCACCUAGGCGACGAUCCCUAGCUGGUCUGAGAGGAUGACCAGCCACACUGGAACUGAGACACGGUCCAGACUCCUACGGGAGGCAGCAGUGGGGAAUAUUGCACAAUGGGCGCAAGCCUGAUGCAGCCAUGCCGCGUGUAUGAAGAA
rnacentral:rRNA from 1 species